CAAAGGAGCAAUCCGCUGAAAGAUGGGCUCGCGUCCGAUUAGAUAGUUGGCGGGGUAACGGCCCACCAAGUCGACGAUCGGUAGCCGGACUGAGAGGUUGAACGGCCACAUUGGGACUGAGACACGGCCCAGACUCCUACGGGAGGCAGCAGUGAGGGAUAUUGGUCAAUGGGGGAAACCCUGAACCAGCAACGCCGCGUGAGGGAAGACGGUUUUCGGAUUGUAAACCUCUGUCCUCUGUGAAGAUAAUGACGGUAGCAGAGGAGGAAGCUCCGGCUAACUACGUGCCAGCAGCCGCGGUAAUACGUAGGGAGCAAGCGUUGUCCGGAUUUACUGGGUGUAAAGGGUGCGUAGGCGGCCCUGCAAGUCAGAAGUGAAAUCCAUGGGCUUAACCCGUGAACUGCUUUUGAAACUGCAGGACUUGAGUGGAGUAGAGGUAGGCGGAAUUCCCGGUGUAGCGGUGAAAUGCGUAGAGAUCGGGAGGAACACCAGUGGCGAAGGCGGCCUACUGGGCUUUAACUGACGCUGAAGCACGAAAGCGUGGGUAGCAAACAGGAUUAGAUACCCUGGUAGUCCACGCCGUAAACGAUGAUUACUAGGUGUGGGGGGUCUGACCCCCUCC
rnacentral:rRNA from 1 species